GCAGCACACAGUCAAGAAGGCUGCAUUCCUCCUGCCUCUUGCCCUUCUCUCCCCGUGUCUUCUUCUUCUGCUCCUCUCCUUCAGUCUCUACUCCCAUCCCCCCUCUCUGGCUGUCUCCUCCCUCUCUAUACCCUUCCCCCAGCUCUAUCCUGCUCUGUGCCUCCCUCAGUCUCAUCAGGCUAUAUGCAGCAAGGCACAAAUUCAUCGGGGGGAAGAGAUACAGCAAAGGAGAGCUGGAGAUAGUGAAGGGGGGUGGAACGAAGAGAUGGUUUGGACUGAAAGAGAGCAAAACAUGAAAGAAUGACAGACUAAUGGAGAAUGAAGGGGCGAGACAGAGAGAAAGUGAGAGAGUGAGGGGUGUGUUGGUGGGAGAGCAGCGAGGAGGAGGAGGAGGAGGAAGAAGAAGCUCGAUCUCGCUACAGCGAUGGGCGUUCCUCUCCCAGUUCCAAACAGAUGCCACCUAGACGGGAUGUGGGUUGAAAUCCACAAGAUCAACAGGAUCUCCUCGGGCACACACACGAACACACAUCCUCAUGAGAGCAGCAGGCUGUGAAGAAUAUCACAAGAUGAAGUGUGGACGGAGC
rnacentral:lncRNA from 1 species